CAGUUAGGGCCUCCACCUCCAGGUGUUCAUCAGCUCGUCGAUCGCAGCUAGCAACAGCCAGCAAGAUUCAUCAUCACGUCUUACGAAAUCUCUUCGGCCUCCAUAAAUCACUCUUCACAGGCAUGCGCCAGCAUUAGCAAAUCCUUCCUCCCCGAAACACCAGGGCGACCAUCGAAACGCGAGAGCCAUUGGAGGAAUA
rnacentral:lncRNA from 1 species